GCGGGAGUUGCCCAGUCAGGUCAACGGCGCGGGGCUUAGAACCCCGUCUCGCAGGAGUUCGUGGGUCCGAAUCCCACCUCCCGCA
rnacentral:tRNA from 1 species